CGACGCAGAGUUCAGUUGGGAUUGAAUUGUGUAACGGUGCGGUUGGCAGCGCUCGCAGCGCCCUUUUCAUUUCACACUCGCUACGCAAACGCGCGCGUUUUUCACGCGACUUUCGUGCGGCGUUCGUUGACUUCUUAAUUUCUGCGUUUGUCUGUUGGCCAAAAAGAACGUGACAAGGGUAGGCGAACUAAAAGGAUCUUAAUUGACUUGCCAACAUUUUGGCUUUAUAUAUGAGACAUGCAGUAAAGCACGCACACACAUAUACACGCAUGCACGCUCACGCACAUGCACAUGCACAUGUAGCUACAGCUAAAUUUAUCAAAGUGCAUCAUCCGGCUUUGUCAUUUGUUGCGCCUGUUUUGGUUUUAUAUAUUUUUUUGUGUAGCACAUUGUGGCCAGAUUUCGCGGAACUGCAAACCCCCGCGCAUAAUAAAAAAAGAAAGAGAGAGAGAGCGAAAAAGAGAGGAGAGUCAAGCAAAUGCUAAAGCCAAAGUAAUGUGCAUGCAAGGCCGUAAUAAUUCACAAAGCGCAAUGCAAUUUGGCAUUUAUAUACAAACACAUACAUAAAUACAUAGAUAG